rnacentral:lncRNA from 1 species
AAGAAUUGAAAGUUGGUUGAAGUUGGGAAAGAUACAGGGUAACGCUUCGUCAUCUGGAUCGAAGAAGCCCUUUGGAAAUGGUCAGAGGAAGAAGGAGGGUGAUACAAGUGUCGUGUAUGCUCAGAGGGGGCAGAGUAGGAAUCGUUACUACCAGCACACUGUUGCGGUAACUAUUCCUGCUGAUAAUCAACAACAGCAAC